rnacentral:rRNA from 1 species
UAGGGAAUCUUCCGCAAUGGACGCAAGUCUGACGGAGCAACGCCGCGUGAGUGAAGAAGGAUUUCGGUUCGUAAAACUCUGUUGUUAGAGAAGAACAGCGCAUAGAGUAACUGUUAUGCGUGUGACGGUAUCUAACCAGAAAGCCACGGCUAACUACGUGCCAGCAGCCGCGGUAAUACGUAGGUGGCAAGCGUUGUCCGGAAUUAUUGGGCGUAAAGAGCUUGUAGGCGGUUCGUCGCGUCUGGUGUGAAAGCCCAUCGCUUAACGGUGGGUUUGCGCCGGGUACGGGCGGGCUAGAGUGCAGUAGGGGAGACUGGAAUUCCCGGUGUAACGGUGGAAUGUGUAGAUAUCGGGAAGAACACCAAUGGCGAAGGCAGGUCUCUGGGCUGUUACUGACGCUGAGAAGCGAAAGCGUGGGGAGCGAACAGG